GGUGCAGGAACAAGUCAUCAGGUCUGAUUGGAAGGUUUAUGUGAGCGAGUCAGAGUCCUGCUGAAGAUGAAGAAAAUACUUGUUGUUUUCUACAUUUUGCUAAACCAGGUCAUUGGCCAGACAGAAGACUUGUAUCCUGUAAAGAUUCUGGUCCGGCAGAGAACUAUAAGCGAGGGCAGUGACCUUCAUGUAACCUGCAGCAU